UACCUUGUAUUCUUGCUUGCAUGGAACCACCUUAUCCAUCCCGAACUAAGAAGUGAAACGUGCAAGGGGCGACAAUACUUGAGGGGAGGCCCUCUGGGAAAAUAGUCUAAUGCAAGGUAAUUGUAAAUACAAAUAUUUA
rnacentral:rRNA from 1 species